UCCAAUAUGAAUAGAAUUUUU
rnacentral:piRNA from 1 species